GUUAUAGCUGUUUCAGACAUGCUACAGUCCAUCCAAGUCAUGAAUGUUCCUUAGAUUUCAUUUUAAAUUGUUGUUGCCUGUUAGACUGUUUUAUCUAUUAUUUGAUAUGUGGACUGGUUCUACAAUUUGGUUACUGCUGGAAUACUCUUAUUGCCGUACUGCAGCAAAACUUGGAUUAGAUUCCACUUGAGCAACUGAGACUUUUUGGCUGGUGAACGGCGACUUUAUUUUGUUUGGAGUGAGAGUGAUAUAUUGCAAAAUGUACCAAUGGAGAUAGAGCUGUAAUUACGAACAAUGUACCCUUGUAGUAUUUUGUUGUUUAGCAACUCGACUUUUCCACAAAUGCUUAGACCAAGAAUAAUCU
rnacentral:misc_RNA from 1 species